rnacentral:tRNA from 1 species
GCCUUCAUAGUGUAACGAUAGCACAUUCGGCGCGUAUUCGAGAGGUCCAGGGUUCGAAUCCCGGCGAGUGCG